rnacentral:rRNA from 1 species
UGCAGUCGAGCGGUAGCUCCUAUUGGUUAAAGCCGAUAGGAGUGAGAGCGGCGCACGGGUGAGUAACACGUAGGUAACCUACCCCAGAGAGGGGGAUAACACCUCGAAAGGGGUGCUAAACCCCCAUAUACUUACCGAGCGAGAUGCUCAGGUAAGGAAAGGGUAUAGAGGGGUAACCCUCUAUGCUGCUCUGGGAUGGGCCUGCGGCCUAUCAGCUAGUUGGUGGGGUAAAGGCCCACCAGGGCUAAGACGGGUAGCCGGCCUGAGAGGGUGGUCGGCCACACUGGGACUGAGACACGGCCCAGACUCCUACGGGAGGCAGCAGCCGGGAAUCUUCCGCAAUGGGGGAAACCCUGACGGAGCGACGCCGCGUGAGGGAAGAAGCCCUUCGGGGUGUAAACCUCUUUUCUCGGGGAAGAAGGCAUGACGGUACCCGAGGAAAAAGCCCCGGCUAACUACGUGCCAGCAGCCGCGGUAAGACGUAGGGGGCGAGCGUUGUCCGGAUUUACUGGGCGUAAAGGGCGUGUAGGCGGCUUAGCAAGUCAGAUGUGGAAGCCCCGGGCUCAACUCGAGGAGGACAUCUGAUACUGCUAAGCUAGAGGGCAGGAGAGGAGAGCGGAACUUCCGGUGUAGCGGUGAAAUGCGUAGAUAUCGGAAGGAACGCCGGUGGCGAAGGCGGCUCUCUGGACUGUCCCUGACGCUGAGGCGCGAAAGCUAGGGGAGCGAACGGGAUUAGAUACCCCGGUAGUCCUAGCCGUAAACGAUGGGCACUAGGUGUGGGGAGUUAGACUCUCCGUGCUGCAGCUAACGCGAUAAGUGCCCCGCCUGGGGAGUA